CUACGGGAGGCAGCAGUGGGGAAUCUUGGACAAUGGGGGCAACCCUGAUCCAGCCAUGCCGCGUGUGUGAAGAAGGCCUUCGGGUUGUAAAGCACUUUCAGUAGGGAGGAAGGCUUAUCCUUAAUACGGAUGAGUACUUGACGUUACCUACAGAAGAAGCACCGGCUAAUUUCGUGCCAGCAGCCGCGGUAAUACGAAAGGUGCGAGCGUUAAUCGGAAUUACUGGGCGUAAAGCGCGCGUAGGCGGUUUGCUAAGUCAGGGGUGAAAUCCCGGAGCUCAACCUGCGAACUGCAUUUGAAACUGGCAGCCUAGAAUGCAGUAGAGGGAGGUGGAAUUUCCGGUGUAGCGGUGAAAUGCGUAGAGAUCGGAAGGAACACCAGUGGCGAAGGCGGCCUCCUGGACUGACAUUGACGCUGAGGUGCGAAAGCGUGGGGAGCAAACAGGGUUAGAUACCCUGGUAGUCCACGCCGUAAACGAUGUAUACUAGUCGUUGGGGAUCUUAUUAUUCUUGGUGACGAAGUUAACGCGAUAAGUAGUCCGCCUGGGGUCGCAAGGUUAAAACU
rnacentral:rRNA from 1 species